rnacentral:lncRNA from 1 species
UGGCAGCUGAUCACGUUGUGGGUGAUGAAAAGGGUUGGACCGUUGAUUUCAACUACACUCAAUGGGCCCAAGACAAAGUUUUUCGUGUUGGUGACAACCUUGGUAAAAAAAAUUGAUUUGCACUACCAUUAUUUGCAUAAUGUGCUUCAUAUCAGAUAGUUAAUUAGUUAAUUUUUAUAAUAUUGUUUGCUUAGCAAUAUUUAAGAACAUGUAAAUUUCUGCAUAUAGAACUUGCCAUUUAAAAUUCAACUUUUUCUCUUUUAUAUCUUUUUAUUUCAGUGUUCAAUUAUGAUAAUACCAAGCACAAUGUCUUCAAAGUGGAUGGUAAACUCUUUCAAAGCUGCACUUUUCCAUCAGAAAAUGAAGCACUUUCCACCGGAAAGGACGUUAUUCAACUGAAAACCGAAGGAAGAAAGUGGUAUGUAUGUGGAAAGGCAAAUCAUUGCGCUGCUCGUCAAAUGAAGCUUGUCAUCAAUGUACUAGAAGAAGGUGCACCUUCGCCUUCUUCGUCUGCUCACUCUAUUGUAUCAUCCAUCUUUGGAGUCAUCAUGGUAGCCACAAUUGCCAUUGCAACCUUCUUUUAGUUAGAGCAAGUUCACUUCUUAUGCUUUGAUUUAAUUUAUCAUUCAAAUAAGAGUUUCUAGUGACCAUUUGGCAAGUAUUGUUUUUUUUCUUUCUUUUUGCUUUUGUUAAAUGAACUACAUGUGAUGAUUAUUUUGGCCAAAAUAAAUUUAUAGUCAUUUAUCUUGAUUUUUAGUUUACUCCUGUAUUUUUAUAAGUUUCAAUUUUAAACCUUAGCCAUUGCGAGAAAUUAAUUGAAUGGGAGGUACCAUAUAGUAAUUGACGAAAGGGGUAAAUACGUUUCUAAUAUUAACUACUCAACAAGGGGAGCAUACAUUUAAGACACUGAUAUUAUAAGUAAAUAACGUUUUAAACAAGACUUUAAUAUAAGAUGCGAAGUUAUCAUAUAUACCUUGAGGCUACUCCUAUUUAUAGUAGUGAAAAGUACAUCAACGUUAAAAAAACUACGAAUUAAUAACAUUGUAUUGAUAUAUAACAUUUUCAAAACAAUAUAUCCAACCAAUAUUAUAUAGUCAUUUUUCAUAAAUAAAAAAAAAGAUUUUUACAUUCUUAUAAAUAAUUGACAACUUAUUACUAUCCCAUUUAAAAAAAUAACAAUUAUUACGAUAGCUCGAUUUUACCCUAUUUUUAAUGUCAUAUGUUAUUAACUAGUUGUUAAAUAAGAUUUUCUCUUUCGAUUGUGUUUGAACCCUGACAUCUAACUCCUAAUCUCUUAGCUACAGUUGAGCUACCCAAUGUCCCUAGAAUUUACACAUUGUCAUCCCUAUUUGAGGAGAGAUGCCCAAUUUUUAUUCAUAUAGACUUCAACCUAGGAACUUAUAGAUCUGAGAUCUCAUCUCACUAUCCUAUGGUCAGUCACAACUCCUGUAACCUAUCAAACCUAAACACAAACUCAAAGAUGAAGUUACCUUCAAAAAACAACCAACACCUUGUUUCACAACUUCGGUGUAGUACACAAGAGUAUCAAACUCAACACACAGUCCUAAACAUGUAUCACAAACGAUACAAGUAAGGCUCACAAUAAAGGUUCUAAACUUGCAUCACAAACGAUGUAGACUCAAAACCCUAAAAAUCUAAACUUUUUAGAAUGACGGCUUGAAUGAUCUAUUAGGUCUUGAAGUCUCCCUUAUAUACUGAAGCAGCUUGGGCUAAAUACUUUAGUUGCGCUUCAGAAAAAAGCAAAUCGGUUCAGCUAAUCUACAAAACAGAAAUCAGAAACAAAUAUGGAAAGUCCUAAAAUGUCGGAACAUCUUUAUGAUCGUUCAAAACAAAAACAAAUAUUUCCUAAAAUAUAAAUAUUACUUUAGAAAUAUUCCACAACUGAUUUUGUAUGGAUAUGCGCGUUGCUUGGUCAAUAAGAUAAGAAAAUAUUGUUUCCUUAAACAAUAAAGGGUGCACAUACAAAUAGGUAUGAACACGGUCACACUGAACCGUGCCAGAAUGUUGGAACAUUGUAUCCAACAUCUUACAGAGAUGCCUAAACACAUGUUGGAACAUUGGUUCCAACAACACAGUCAAGGAUAUUUAUUUUAGCAAUAAUGCAGUCAAUACAAAUACCCAACAUAAGAGCUAGGGGUGGAGCCAUAAAUUUAAAUUCAGAGGGACUGAGUGCGACGAACACUUUUUUUUAGCGAACAAGGAACAUAAUUUGAUUAAAAAUAAUUUUUAAAUGCAAACGAUAUAUAAGAAACCCUAAACUAAUAUUUUCUUAUUUCUUAAAGAAAUUUAUAACUAUGUAUUUAGCAUGAGAGACAUUAAUAAGUAAGUAUAGCUAUCGUACAAGUAUUGUCUUAAUAGUGAGGAAAAAAAAACAAAAAAUAGGAAGAGAAAACAAAAUAAUCCUUGUAAAAAAAUAGAAAAAGAAUAGUGCAUACGUUCUAGAUUAAAUGUGUUUUUAGCAAAUGACAAAAUUUUCAGUAUAAUAUGAGUUCGAUUCUUAAGUAGAACAAUUCUUGACCAAAUUUUACUUAACUCUCGGCUAAAAUCUGAAUCACAAUGAACCAUUUAGCCUAAGAAUCAGAGGGUUAAUACAAAAAGAGAACGUCAAUUGACUAAAUAGAAAAAUAUUUAUACAAGCGUGGGAGACAUGAGAUUUUUAUCACUAGAGAAUAAAAUCCAUUAAGGACUGAAUCAUACUCUAAUCCCCUAUUUUUAUUUUAGGUUUUAAUUUGCUCAUUUUUACGCAUUAAAAUAGUCUUUUAUUUGCAAAGUUAUGUCAUUGUGGUUCAUUCCAUUUGAAAUAUGAUGUGGACAGGACCAUGUGAGAUAAUUUAAAAUAGGGUUAAUAGGUCUUUACCCCCUGUAAUAUAGGUCAUUUCCGGUUUUUCCCCUGUAAAAAUUUUUUUAUUUACCCCCUGUAAUUUUUUAUUUAUUUUUUAUUUACCCCCCUAAUAGGCCAAACAAAAACGUUUUUUUUUUCUUUCCAGAAUUUCAACAUUAUGAAGUUGUUUUUGAUUUUUUGUUUACUUCUGACAAGUUAAAAUCAUUAGAUAAUGCGACUUUAGAGUCUUCUUGUUGUAAUUUUGAACAUGCAUUGAAACAUAAACGAGAAAUCUGAUAUUGAUGGAAGAGAACUAUAUGUGGAGUUAAGGUCACUAAAAGAUAUCUUGCCUGAUGAAGAAAUGUGAGCUAUUGAGACUUUAAGAUUUUUUUUUUGAAAAACACAAGUUUUUUUUCUAAUACAAUUGUUGCAUAUAGAAGUUGAUUGACUAUUUCCGAGACAGUUACCUCCGUAGAAAGAAGUUUUUUCAAAAUCAAAGUUGUUGAAGUCUUACAUGCGGUCUGCCAUGCUACAAGAAAGAUUUAAUGGCAAUGAUAGCAAUUGAGAAUGCUAUGUUGGAAAAUAUACAAUAUGAAGAGUUGAUUGAUCAAUUUGCUUCGGUAAAUUUAAGAAGGAAGAAUCGUCUUGAGUAGCUGGAAGGUUGAUAAAGGUAUUCGUCUGAACAAGUAUUUUUAUAUUAUUUAUUAGAAUAUAGAUCUUUUUUGUGUUAGUUACCAUGAUGAUUAUUUUUUAUGUUUACGAAUUUCAUUUUCAAUUUAAAUAGAAGAUUGCUAUUUUUUUUUUUAAAAAUGCAUAUUUAUUUUAUUAUGGGUCUAGUUUUACUUACAGAGUCGAGCCUUCAAAUUCAUAGGAACGGCUUUGAUGGUAUCCACUAGCCACACUUGCCAUUGCAACCAUCUUCUAGUUAGAGACAAGUUCACUUCUUUGUUUUUUUUUUACAAGAAAGUUCACUUCUUUAUAUCGUUUAUCUGUUAUUCAAAUAAGAGUUUCUAGUGACUUAUUGGCUAAUGUAAUAUUUAUUUUUGAAUUUUGUUGAAUAAACUAUGUGAUGAUUAUUUUGUGAAAGAGGAGAAAAGCACUAUAUUGCUGCAGGCCGUCGGAACAAAUAUCUUUCUGUUCUCUUUGACUUAUGCAUGCUGAAGAAUUUACUUGCCGUUCCAAAACCAAGGCUUUUUUUUUUUUUUUUUACAAAGAAACAAAGUUGUAAGCACAUUUAUUUAAUUAUCAUUUAUGGCCAAAUUACUUUAAAGUUUAAUUCUAGUUGAACUCACAGUACUAUUUUUUUUACAGAUAAAUUGAGUUUUUUUUUUAUAAAUUGAGUUUUUGAUAAAUUGAUUGUCUACUUACAAUUAAUUGUCUACUUUUUGAUCAAUUGAAUUUUUUUUUUUCUUUUUAAUCAAUGUUGAGCAAAGAUUCGAUCCUAAGAAAAACAUGUAGCAUCCAAUUCAGGGCCGUUUGAUUAAGAUAUAUUUAAACCAUUUUCAUCUUAUAGUUAUUUUUGUUUGUAAAAUUUUCUAAAAGAAAUAUCAUUUUGUUAAAAAUGAAAUAACCAUGUUAGAUUAGCUUUUUUUUUUUUUUUUAUAUAUAUAAAAAAACACUUAACUAGAAGAGAGAAAAAUGAUAUAGUUUAUGGUGUCCAUGUUUUUUCAUCCAUACUAAUAAUAAACUAUUUAAUAUGCAUAGCUUUCUACUUGAAUGUUUUUUCAACCAUGAUUUAGGUUUCUCUUAAAAAUGAAUAUGGAUGUGGGGACUUUAAAAUCAAAAAAGGGGUAAACAUGGAGGAUUAAAUUGCUAAAAGAACUAGGGGGAUCAAAAUUGCACAAUUUGAAAACUUACAGGACUAAAAUUGCAUUUAGCCUAGUUUUUUUUUUAAGAAAAUCAUUUUCUAUAGAAGAGAGAUAAAAAUAUAGUUUACGGGAUCUAUAAUCAGAUUAGUAAGAAGCUAUUAUAAUUGUAGGUCUUGCUUGUUAAGGAUCCAAAAAUAUAAACAAUUGAUAAUUUUUAUGUAGAUUAAGUUGCUUUUUGUUGUUUCAAUGUGUUGAAUACACAAAUUCUAAGAUAAAAUUCUAAGAUAACUUUCAAUGUGUCAGUGUUUCCCAUAAUUAUAAUAUGCAUAAUUUGGUCCAUGUGACCUUAACAUUGCAUAAUAUAUGCAGGGGUUGGGUUUAAACCACAAACACCUCAUUUUUUCACAUUUAAAAUGUGUGAGCUUCGGUCAUUAGGCUACGUGUCUACUAGACCAAAAAACAAAGCAUUUUUAAGCAUGAUUUACAAUCUUGUUAAGAUUGUCCAACAACAUUCUCCAAAAUAUUUAUAUCAAAAUUAUUUUUAUUUUAACCUAUAACAAACUAUCUUAGUCUUUGGAAACAAAUCUAUAAAUAGUCUCUUAAAAUUAGUACACAUUAAUUAUUAGACUUUUUUUUUCUUUUUUCUGAAGGGCAUAAUUAUUAGUCUUUUGUCCACAGUAACUAUUACAUUGGGACACAUUAGGACAAUAAUUUUGUAAAUGUAAGUACUUAUUUUGGGAGAGAGUGGUUUUUUAGUCUUUCCAUGGAUCAUGAACUAUUUUAAUUGUUUAACUUUUUCUGAUAAUUAAACUUAAUGAAUUAUUUUUUUGAAAAUCUAAAUUAGAUAGCAUUUUCUUAUAUCUAAAACAAGGAUCAAACAUUAUUUACUCUAGAACUUUUGAAAUGUAGAAAAUAUAAGCCGACCUAAUCCGGUACUUGUCCUAUUGCUAUUUGCAAGGCUUCAUAUAUUUUAAUUCUCGUUAAGAUCAAUAUACAAAGACACUAUAAAUAACAAUUCAUCAAAGCAAUAACACUUGCAUAUCAUAUAUUAGCAACUUCUGCAUUUGAUUGAGAUUUUAAGAAAGGAAAAUACUUAUUUUACACUCAAAUUUUGAUAAAAUGACUUAUUCUCGUGCAAUCUACCUUGCCAUUUCCAUGGUUUUGCUUUCCUCAGUAGCAAUGGCAGCUGAUCACGUUGUGGGUGAUGAAAAGGGUUGGACCGUUGAUUUCAACUACACUCAAUGGGCCCAAGACAAAGUUUUUCGUGUUGGUGACAACCUUGGUAAAAAAAAUUGAUUUGCACUACCAUUAUUUGCAUAAUGUGCUUCAUAUCAGAUAGUUAAUUAGUUAAUUUUUAUAAUAUUGUUUGCUUAGCAAUAUUUAAGAACAUGUAAAUUUCUGCAUAUAGAACUUGCC